rnacentral:rRNA from 1 species
AGAGUUUGAUCCUGGCUCAGGAUGAACGCUGGCGGCGUGCUUAACACAUGCAAGUCGAACGCACCUUCGGGUGAGUGGCGGACGGGUGAGUAACGCGUGGGAAUCUGCCCUUAGGAGGGGGAUAACGGCUGGAAACGGCCGCUAAUACCCCAUAUGCCGAGAGGUGAAACGAAUUUCGCCUGAGGAUGAGCCCGCGUCUGAUUAGCUAGUUGGUGGGGUAAGAGCCCACCAAGGCGACGAUCAGUAGCUGGUCUGAGAGGAUGAUCAGCCACACUGGGACUGAGACACGGCCCAGACUCCUACGGGAGGCAGCAGUGGGGAAUUUUCCGCAAUGGGCGAAAGCCUGACGGAGCAACGCCGCGUGAGGGAUGAAGGCCUCUGGGCUGUAAACCUCUUUUCUCAAGGAAGAAGACAUGACGGUACUUGAGGAAUAAGCCACGGCUAAUUCCGUGCCAGCAGCCGCGGUAAUACGGGAGUGGCAAGCGUUAUCCGGAAUUAUUGGGCGUAAAGCGUCCGCAGGCGGCUCUGUAAGUCUGUUGUUAAAGCGUGGAGCUCAACUCCAUUUCAGCAAUGGAAACUACAGGGCUUGAGUGUGGUAGGGGCAGAGGGAAUUCCCGGUGUAGCGGUGAAAUGCGUAGAUAUCGGGAAGAACACCAGUGGCGAAGGCGCUCUGCUGGGCCAUAACUGACGCUCAUGGACGAAAGCCAGGGGAGCGAAAGGGAUUAGAUACCCCUGUAGUCCUGGCCGUAAACGAUGAACACUAGGUGUCGGGGGAAUCGACCCCCUCGGUGUCGUAGCCAACGCGUUAAGUGUUCCGCCUGGGGAGUACGCACGCAAGUGUGAAACUCAAAGGAAUUGACGGGGGCCCGCACAAGCGGUGGAGUAUGUGGUUUAAUUCGAUGCAACGCGAAGAACCUUACCAGGGUUUGACAUCCUGCGAAUCCCUUGGAAACUUGGGAGUGCCUUCGGGAGCGCAGAGACAGGUGGUGCAUGGCUGUCGUCAGCUCGUGUCGUGAGAUGUUGGGUUAAGUCCCGCAACGAGCGCAACCCACGUCUUUAGUUGCCAGCAUUCAGUUGGGCACUCUAGAGAGACCGCCGGUGAUAAACCGGAGGAAGGUGUGGAUGACGUCAAGUCAUCAUGCCCCUUACAUCCUGGGCUACACACGUACUACAAUGCUACGGACAGAGGGCAGCAAGCUCGCGAGAGUUAGCAAAUCCCAUAAACCGUGGCUCAGUUCAGAUCGUAGGCUGCAACUCGCCUACGUGAAGGAGGAAUCGCUAGUAAUCGCAGGUCAGCAUACUGCGGUGAAUACGUUCCCGGGCCUUGUACACACCGCCCGUCACACCAUGGAAGUUGGCCAUGCCCGAAGUCGUUACU